rnacentral:rRNA from 1 species
CCUACGGGUGGCAGCAGUGAGGAAUAUUGGGCAAUGGACGCAAGUCUGAACCAGCCAUGCCGCGUGCAGGAAGACGGCCCUAUGAGUUGUAAACUGCUUUUGUACGAGGGUACACGCAGAUUCGCGUAUCUGUCUGAACUUAUCGUACGAAUAAGGAUCGGCUAACUCCGUGCCAGCAGCCGCGGUAAUACUGAGGAUUCACUCGUUAUGCGGAUUUAUUGGGGUUAAAGGGUGAGCAGGCGGAAGAUCAAGUCAGCGGUAAAAUGGAGGGGCGAAACCCCUUCGAGCCGUUGAAACUGGUUUUCUUGAGUGAGCGAGAAGAAUGCGGAAUGCGUGGUGUAGCGGUGAAAUGCAUAGAUAUCACGAAGAACUCCGAUUGCGAAGGCAGCAUACCGGCGCUCAACUGACGCUCAUGCACGAAAGUGUGGGUAUCGAACAGGAUUAGAUACCCUGGUAGUC